GGGACACGUGGUAUCCUGUCUGAAUAUGGGGGGACCAUCCUCCAAGGCUAAAUACUCCUGACUGACCGAUAGUGAACCAGUACCGUGAGGGAAAGGCGAAAAGAACCCCGGCGAGGGGAGUGAAAAAGAACCUGAAACCGUGUACGUACAAGCAGUGGGAGCACAGAGCAAUCUGUGUGACUGCGUACCUUUUGUAUAAUGGGUCAGCGACUUAUAUUCUGUAGCAAGGUUAACCGAAUAGGGGAGCCGAAGGGAAACCGAGUCUUAACUGGGCGUUAAGUUGCAGGGUAUAGACCCGAAACCCGGUGAUCUAGCCAUGGGCAGGUUGAAGGUUGGGUAACACUAACUGGAGGACCGAACCGACUAAUGUUGAAAAAUUAGCGGAUGACUUGUGGCUGGGGGUGAAAGGCCAAUCAAACCGGGAGAUAGCUGGUUCUCCCCGAAAGCUAUUUAGGUAGCGCCUCGUGAAUUCAUCUCCGGGGGUAGAGCACUGUUUCGGCAAGGGGGUCAUCCCGA
rnacentral:rRNA from 1 species